GUGAAUCAUCGAAUCUUUGAACGCAAAUUGCACUCUCUUCGGAGAGUAUGCCUGUUUGAGGGUCAGUAUUAAUAAAAAUCGGUGUGUUGCUUCUUUGUGACGCUCCGGAGUUUGGGUCAUCUUAAUAUAUCCUUUAGGUUUUAAGAGGCUUAAAAUUGACUUUUUUUUGCGCAUUUAUUAGAUGUACAUAAAUUUUUUUUUUUUUUCGUGUGUUUAAUUUCUAAAACCCCUUUUAUAUGACC
rnacentral:misc_RNA from 1 species